rnacentral:rRNA from 1 species
AGUGAACGCUGGCGGCAGGCCUAACACAUGCAAGUCGAACGGCAGCACAGUAAGAGCUUGCUCUUACGGGUGGCGAGUGGCGGACGGUUGAGGUAUACAUCGGAAUCUACUUUUUCGUGGGGGAUAACGUAGGGAAACUUACGCUAAUACCGCAUACGUCCUACGGGUGAAAGCAGGGGAUCUUCUGACCUUGCGCGAUUGAAUGAGCCGAUGUCGGAUUAGCUAGUUGGCGGGGUAAAGGCCCACCAAGGCCACGAUCCGAAGCUGGUCUGAGAGAAUGAUCCGCCACACGGGAACUGAGACACGGUCCAGACUCCUACGGGAGGCAGCAGUGGGGAAUAUUGGACAAUGGGCGCAAGCCUGAUCCAGCCAUACCGCGUGAGUGAAGAAGGACUUCGGGUUGUAAAGCCCUGUUGUUGGGAGAGAAAAGCAGCAGGUUAAUACCCCGCGGUUCUGACAGUACCCAAAGAAUAAGCACCGGCUAACUUCGUG